GCUGAGGGGGCCCGGGCCGGGAUGGCGCCGGGGGCUGCGUCCGCAGACAUGGAGCUCGCUGCCCAGAAGCAGAACAGCCCAGGCUGCCCCCGGGGCUGUUUCUAUGUGGGGCAGGUUGACACGCCUGUAUAGCCCAGCCGGUGUGGGUGUGAGUCCCCAUCAGACUGCUCCACAGUCAGUCAUAGUGCACCUGUCCAUAAGCCUGCACAGCCCUGUGGAAUUCAGUCACUGUAUCUAUAUUACCUGUUAUCUACUAUAUCUAUAUGAUCUAUGCAGUGCAGCCAGCGAACAUGUAUGAUUUGGUUGAUGUACCCACAUGGUUUGGCUACUAAACCUGCACAGUUCGGUCUUUACAGCCACACUGGUGUCCAUCAAAUGGAAUCCCUGCAAAAAUACCUACCUGGACAGACACAGAAACUGGAACAACCAUGUUGAGGGGUUGCCUCACUGUGUCAGUGAAGAUGCCCAAGGAAAUGCUCUGAACACAUCACAAAUGUGCAGGUAAGAACACUGGAGGAAGGGAAAUAAACUGCUCCAUCUGUGUGGGUAACACCACUGCAGGGCACACGUGGGCUCUUUUGGGGGCUGUCAAUGCUAUUUUUUUCCUCUCAGCAAAUUUCCCUGUAAAUCUCGAAAAACAAGCUUAAGAAACUCAGUGUAGACUGUGGACAAAAGUCUUUGAGCACCUGUGCAGCCAUUCUGAUAAUUUAUGCUGAAGGAAUCUGGAGAAAAACCACUGUAGCUAGCUGCUCCUUGUUAGAGGUCACCACAAAAAGAAGAGUGAACAGUAUCAAAGGCUCAGAUAAUGAUGUCACCUUCCUUCCUGGAUCAGAGCUGAUGCUCAGGGAACUUCAGACCAUGAGCAUCUUUGUAACAUUAUUUGAGGAACCAUAAGAAGAAAAUUGUCCUUUUCCCAGAGAUUGCUGUAACCUGAAGUUCACCAACUGCAAUACAGAGAAAGAUUGCCCAGUCCCAUCACUGCAAUCACCUCACACAAUUUACCAGCUGUACUAAUAACCCUCAGUGGCCAUGACCAGCCUCACCUGGGGCUUCUCCCCACAUCUGUGGCCCAGGAGCUCUAUUUUAACUCAGCCCAGGACCAUCAUUCCUUGCUGAAUGAUGGAGAAGCGCUUGUCUCUAAGGUGCUUGCAGUCCUUCAUGCCUAGGGACUCUUUGGGUCUGACCUUCACUCAUAGUUUGACUCCUAAGCUUUGUCCCAGUGCACUCUAGGCAGGUAUUUUGUUCUGAGUGAACCAACUCCAGAAAUAAUAAUUUAUAUUGUACCAUUCUUCUAGAAAGCUAAAACUGAACUAAUAUUUUUGCUUUGAAAAGUAUUUGUGAAAGACUAUUGAAAGUACAGUAUGUCAACAGCUGAUAUUGAAGACUGAGGGGGGGGAAAAUAGGGUUUAUGUUGCCAGUUAAGGAGCUGGUACAGCACUAAGGCUGCUGAAUGACUUCUUUGCAGGUAUUUCUUUCUAUGUUAUCUGGUUUUGCUUUUCUGUGACAUUCAUACUUAGGUUUUGGGAAAUGUGGUCCUUGGUCUAACUGUGGUCUUAAAGGGCAAAAUUGGACAGGAGGGAUGGGGGGAGGUAACAGGAUGCUCUCCAGGUAGACAAAAAAAA